rnacentral:rRNA from 1 species
CCUACGGGAGGCAGCAGUGGGGAAUUUUGGACAAUGGGCGAAAGCCUGAUCCAGCAAUGCCGCGUGAGUGAAGAAGGCCUUCGGGUUGUAAAGCUCUUUUGUCAGGGAAGAAACGGUGAGAGCUAAUAUCUCUUGCUAAUGACGGUACCUGAAGAAUAAGCACCGGCUAACUACGUGCCAGCAGCCGCGGUAAUACGUAGGGUGCAAGCGUUAAUCGGAAUUACUGGGCGUAAAGCGUGCGCAGGCGGUUUUGUAAGUCUGAUGUGAAAUCCCCGGGCUCAACCUGGGAAUUGCAUUGGAGACUGCAAGGCUAGAAUCUGGCAGAGGGGGGUAGAAUUCCACGUGUAGCAGUGAAAUGCGUAGAUAUGUGGAGGAACACCGAUGGCGAAGGCAGCCCCCUGGGUCAAGAUUGACGCUCAUGCACGAAAGCGUGGGGAGCAAACAGGAUUAGAUACCCUGGUAGUCCACGCCCUAAACGAUGUCUACUAGUUGUCGGGUUACUUAAUUGACUUGGUAACCGCGAGCGACGACGUGAGUAGACCGCCGUGGGUAGGUUACGGUUCGUCGAGAGUUAAACGUUACGAAGAGUAGUUAGACGNGNGAGAGCGACGACGCGACGACGGAGGAGG